rnacentral:lncRNA from 1 species
UAUAUGUAUAGCUGAAUUUUUGUUGCAAACAAUAAUGCUUGAAUAGUAAUAUAUCUGUUUAAAGAGUUAAUAUAUCUUGGCUACAGCAUCAGAAAUAUAUCUCUAUUCAAACAAUACUGUUUUGUAAUAAAAUCAACAAAUUUUCAAAAGCAAAUCAUUUAUGUGUGAAAAUAUGUUCCUUGACUGUCAGGAGUAGCAGAACUGCUGAGACAGUUACUGGAACUGUCAAAACUGCAGGGUAACAUGAAUGAUAACAAAUACCUUCCAGGGUUUAAAAAAAAAAAAACAGAAAAACUGUCGUUUUAAUGAAUCCCAAAUUUAUAAUACUGUGAUAUAGAUUCUAUAGCAACAUCGACAGGAAAUAACGUCAACGGGAUGGCUAUAGAAAUGAGUCAACAGGUUGUCCAAGGAACUGAUUUUAAAAGCGUUGAUAGUUUGGCUGAAGAAUUAAGUUGACAGUUAUAUAAACCCAAAACCAAAUGAAGUAUUAAAAGGACAAAAAAAAAGGAAAGAAAAAAACAAGUCCACAUUUUAAAAUUCAUCUUUUUUAACAACAACAACAAUAAUAUAGAAACAUACACAACUAGUGCUUUUAGUAAUCAAUGAUCAAGGAAUAUAACAAAUUAAAAAAAAAAAAACAGUGACUAAAUACACUUAGAAAGGAUUGGUUGGUUGGUUGGUUGGUUUUCUGAUUUUGUUUGUUGUAGUUUGUUACUAAAAGUUGGUACAAAAUGCAGUCAAUGCGUUAGGUAUUCAGCAGUAACUAAUGGUAACUAUUCAGACCAGAUUUUUUCUCUUUUUUUUUUUCCAAGGAUAACAUCAACAGACAAAAAAUAAAGUUAACAAGUAUCAUAAAUUGGUCGGAUUCUGCUUUCAGGAAUGGAAAUAUGGCAGAACUGGCACCAUCCAGUCUUUGCCGGACAUUGGAACGGAUUUCUGUUUGGAGUAGUACUGAAUGAAUAAUGGUAUGGUUUGCAAGUUGCAACCCAGUUGAAGAACUAAAAUGUAACCAACAUUAGAUGGUAACUACAAAGAUGAUAAAAGGGAUUUGUUAGACCUGGAACAAACAAAAGUAGUUAUAAUAAAAACAUUUUACUGUCCAAGUAAAGGGAGACAUAGAAAAAGAAAAAAAAAACAUUUUCAAGUACCAUUUGUAUAAGGAAAAGAAGCUGUAAUAAAAUUAGUUGCACCAAAUCACACAAAACAUUUUUCAGUUUGAAACACUUAAAAAAUUUAACAUAUAAAUGCGUACUGGUGUAUAUAAUGUAUACACGCUCCAGAAUUAGUUAAAUAAAUGGAGAUGUGCGUGCAUGAAUUUAUAGUAGUAAAAUGAAUAGUUUACUAAAACCACAGAAAAAUACAAAUACCAUUGCCUGUCUAAACUUUUGGGAGAUAGCUUAGACAUUUUAAUAUAACAAUAACAAAAAAAAAAACAAAAAAACUGACAACAUUUAGAGUAGGUUCGCAAAAUCUCUUUGUUAUCAAGACUCCAAAGUAAUUUAUAUGCUUUGUUAAUAACUAAUAAGGAAAAAAUGUUAAUGAGAAAAAAAAUGACUUUCAAAAAGUCAAAAUACAUUUUAUCAUCAAGUUAUAUUUCCCGUUAGCAAUUUAAAGCAGGUAUUGCUUAAAUGCUGGCAUUAAUAUUUUAGCCAGAAAGGGCUGUGUUUCCACAGAAUAAGAUAGACACAAAUGUUUAACAAAGGAAACAAUCCAAAAAGUUUUAGUUUCCACUAGUUUAAAAUAAAGACAGUUUUCUGUCAUUAUAAAUAGUCCAAUGAAGUAAUCAAAAAGACAAAAAGAUAAUAAUUAAAAACAUUUUUGUUGAUUUUUUUUUUAGAAAUAUGAAAAACUCUGUGUAAAAAGUGAUAUUAAUGUCUAAACCCAGUAACUUUUUUUUAAUAAAACUAUCAGAGCAGUCCUAACAAUUACAGCAAAUGGAGACAAAACUUAAAAAAAAAAAGAAAUACUGUUUGUAUUCUUUUUAUUGUUUUAUUGAAAGAAAUUAUUUUGAACCAUUUUCUUUUUUUUUUUCUUUAAGAAUUCAACCUAAGAAUAUAACAAACAGUGUCGCACACCAAACUUUAUCAAGCUUAGAGACACCAGAUACAGAUGAUAAAUUCUUGGGGCGAACAUAAGAUUACUGGCAGACACUAGGAUCCAGUAAAAAGAUAUGUAUGUGCUGCACAAAUAGGAAUAUAGAGCAGAUCUCCUAAAACCAAAAGAAAAAAAAAAAAGCUCCAAUCAUUAGGUAACAAGAGGAAGAAAUUCCAACCAUUUUUAAAGAAAAAAAUGAACUCCGGAGAUUGCAUUGCUUUUCAUGAAGGUAAAAAAAAAUUUUUUUUUUUCUUUUUUUUUUUAGAUUUAAACACAACACAAAGUUCUUUCUCUCAGUAAAGAGUAUGAGACAUUGCAUGCCAGUAACUUCAGUUAUGGAGACAUCAAAGCCAUAGAUUGAUAUAACAGGCAAUGAAGCAAAGUACUAAUGAAAAAAAUUUUGUUAAAAAAACCUCAAGCAUUUUGUAGAUACCAGAAGCAGAUUAAUAAAACAACUUUUUUUUUUUUUUUCACAGCCUACAAACUUCUAUCAAAAAGAUGCCCUAAACUUAAAAUGCAAAUAUCUAAAUAGUUUCAGAAUUAAAACUGGUUAAUUACAUAAUUUUAUUUUUGUUCUUCAAUUCUUAGCAUGAUUCAAAUAUUAUUAUAUGAACUAAAACUAAAAUUUUAUAACAUGUGUGUGCAUCUUGUUCAUAACUACAAACCAUGAUUUGAGAAAAUGUGAAAAUUUAUUCAAAUAAGCAUAAUUUUUAUUUGGUUCUGAAGAUGAGAUUAAGUUCUUGGUUUUUUUUUUUUUUUGAUUUUUAAAAAAUUUUAUAACAGCUUAGAUAUUCCAUCUGUAACUAUGAUUAUCCUAAUAACAAUAUAUUUUCUUGGUUUUUACCCGUUCAUGAAAAUGUUUGAGUAAAGAACAUUUCUGGAAAAGAGAGGCACACAUAGGAUAGAUCAAAUGAUAAGAUACGUAAGUGUUCAGCAGGCCAGGGCAAGCACACUAAGUAUCUCCCCAUACAAAACAGAUGAGGGGUGAAACAACAUGAUAAUUUGAAACCAUUUUCCAUCACCCUACACCAUUAUCACAUUAACAAAGAUGGCAGUAGAUAUGAAAAAUAAACCCAAAUAUCAUAGUUUAAGAAGAAAUUUUUUGCUAUUUUUUAAGACUUAACUAGAAUAAAAUAUAGAAAGGUAACCUUAAGCUAUUCAGGAAAUGAUAACAUAGAAGAUCUAACAUUUUUCACAACUGUAAAAUGUACAAAAUUAUAAAGAAAAAUAGCCAUCCAAGUAUUAAAACAUGACUGUCGGAUUUAUUAAGUUCAACAAUUUUGGAAUUCUUUCAUAAUUUUAUUGAGUUUUUUUUUCAAUAAAUGUUUUCCUUGCUAUCUCAAUAGAUAUUAUCAAACACAUAAGAACCAACAGAGACAGAGUUUUGAUAACUGAGUGAAAAAAAAAAGCAAUCUAUUCUUUCACUAUUAAUUCUAAUAAAAUUAUUGCUUUAAUUUUUCUCAAAUAAAAACUGGAUUGUAAUAUUUAAAGAAAUACCUAAAUUGUUAAGGUGACAGCAGUGAUCUUUUAUAAGAUAUAGGAAUGGUAGAUUUCUUUUAAAAUGGUACAUUAUUAAACCAGAUUCGAAAGCAGUUGUGUAAGUAUAUACAUACAUGCACACACAUAUAUACAUACAUAUAUAUAUAUGUGUGUGUGUGUGUGUGUGUGUCUAUGUGUGCAUAAAUGAUAGAAGAGUACAGGUUAUGCCCAAUCAAACAAUGAUUCCUAUGUGUGUUACCUGCUAGAUUUGAUGUUUAUUUUGGAUCAUGGAAUGGUCAAGAUUUUAUAAUUAUUUUCACACCAUGCUUAAUGUUCAAAGUCAAUUCUUUGAUUUAGACCAAGGAAUGGUUGAAGCCAAAUACACUUCUAUGAUGGAAUGAUUGAAAUACAAAUAUUGUAAUGUUUAGGAAACAUUUUACAGACUAAAAAUGUUGUAUUUAUACAAAUGGAAUGUUUUAGGUGUGACUAAAAUGAAACUAAAUUAUUCUAAGGAAUGCCUAAGCAAAUUAAAUUGUAAUUUUGACCUUAGUUUCUAGCAGAUAUUGUUUGUGGGCCUGUAAAGUAAAUGGUUUAAGUCAAAAGCAAGAUUAAAAAGAAAUUAAUUUUUUUUUUGUCUCUUUUAUAAUGUGAAGAUUUUUUUUCUUUUUCAACACUAUUACAAUUUAACAUAUUGGCAGUCAACAAAUAUAUUACCAGUUUUGUUGUAUCACAAUAGAUACAAAAUUUGGGUUAACGACUCACUGGCUCUUUAACAUUAAACCCUCUGUCUGUGUACAGUGCUGCCAUAAAACAGCUGUGGUAAGUCUUUUAAGUCACACCAACUCAAACUAAAAUCAAAAGCUUUUUUUUUUUAUUAUCAUUAUUAUUAUUACACGACUGAACCACUCGACUAUUUCAAACUAAACUCCCGACUACAACUACAAUUAUUAAGACAUCCAACUUUAAAAAAAAGAGGGGGGGGGGGGAAAUGAAGAAAGUAUGAUGAAACAAAUAAUAGGAGAAUUCUUUGAGAAUAGGAUUCAGCAAAACAAAUAGGAAAUUGUGUGAACAGAAUGAGUUAAGGAGAUGAAAGCUGCACAGAAUAAAUAACUGGUUAAAUUCAUCAAUGUGUUCUUGUUUACAAUAAUGAUACCACCAAAAUAGCCCAACAGUCAUUUGAGUGUGCGUAGAGAGAAUAGUUAUUACUUUUUAACAUAUUUCAAGGGCAUAUGUGUAAGUAUAUACAUACAUAUAUAUAUAUACAUAUAGAUAUAUUUAUAUAUAUAUAGAUAUAUAUAUAUACAUAUAGAUAUAUAGGUACAGAUAUAUGUUAAUGUUUGUUUUUGUUUUCAGUUACAAUAAAAACAAUUUGACAAUAAUCUGACAGGUAACUCUAUACUUUUUUAGAGUACAAAUUUAUUGUUCUUAAACAAGAAUACUAUUGACAAUGACUUCACGUUUCAGCCAUUUAAGCCAUCAUCUAACAACAGCUUCACUGCCCCAAACUUUGAAGUCACUGUCAAUAAUAUUCUUGUUUAAGAAUACACAUAUAUAUAUAUUCAUAUAUGUAUAUACAUUUAUGUAUAUAUAUAUAUAUAUAUAUAUAUAUCAAUCAUAUUUAGACCUCGUUAUCUGUAGAUGGCUAAAUUACAUUGGUUUACAAAAUGAUUUGAUUAAUAUUCUUCUUCAUUUAUAUUCAACAAACUUCAAAUUCAUCUUUUAACAACAGAUUUUGAAAAUUUGAUAAUGAAUAAUGAUGUUCAAUGAAAAAAAAAAUAUGUGAUUGAGAGAGAAGAAAAAAAAAGCAUUUCACCCAAUUCCACACAGAAAAGAAAACAACAGGAAAAUUGAAAUAGUUGCUAUCAUCAGGUAACAAUCAUAUGCUCUGGAGAAAAUAGUGAUACAUCAAAACUGGAUUUUUUUUUACAAAGUUCACAAGACCUCAUGACCUCUAUUAUCAGUUUUGAUGAAUUAAGAGGGUAGUUGUGAACUGAAUUUAUCUUUAUAGUAAUGAUGUGGUAUAUCAUGUAUCAAUGAUGUAGAGUGGAACACUAAAGUACCAACAGGUCACCAAAAUUAUAAUUUAAUAUACAAGAACCUAGUCCUUAUUUUCAUUUUAAUCUACUGCAAGCCAGGACUUCAGUAACUAUAUAAUUGUGAAUGGUAAAUUUAGUUACUGUACAAAUAAAUGGGAAACUGAAGUUCCUUUAAUGCAAAUAUAAAUGCUUGUAUUGGCACAAGCCCACAAAUUUCUAAAAGCAAAGUAAAGCCAACCUCAGUAUAUGACUGGUACGUCUUAUAACGACUCUAGAAGUUGGCAUUUUAAUUUGGUUUGCUAAGAGAUGAAAUAUAUGCUAGUAGGUACUUUACUGUUUCUGCCACUCAUAUAUUGGUUUGAAAUGAAUUCAAAUUUUGGCACAAGGCCAGCAAUUUCGAGGGAGGGGUUAGCUGAUUGCAUCAACGCCAGUGUUCAACUGGUACUUAGUUUUUCGACCCUGAAGGGAUAAAAAGCAAAGUCAACCUCAGCAGAAUUUGAACACAACACAUAAAGAUGGACAAAAUGCCGCUAAGCAUUUUAUCCAGUGUGCUAAUAAUGCUGUCAGCUCACCAUCUUCUGCCAUUCUUAUAUUACAAAUAUAUUAAUUGCUCACAAAUCCUACAAUUACAAUGGUUUUUUUUGUAGGACGAUUCAAAUACUGUAUAAUUCUGUUAGUGUGUUUUCUAAAGAAAAUGAAAAUGAAAAAUGACAAGGCAUAGAUAAAAAAUAUAUUCUCCUGGGAAUAAUUAAAGAGAAUAUUGGUUUCAAAUUUUGGCAUAAGGCCAGCAAAUUGAGGGUAUGGGGUAAGUUGAUUACAUCAACCCCAAUGCUCCACUGGUACUUAGUUUAUCGACCUUGAAAGGAUGAAAGGCAAAGUCAACCCCGGUGGCAUUUGAACUUAGAAUGUAAAGAAAGUUCAAUAGAACCUGCAAAGCAGCAUCAAUUUGGUAUUGUUGCUAUAAAGAACAGUGGAAUAUUGGUUAUGGCUUUAGCUGUUAAAUAAUAACUGCUUGAAGAGUGAAAGUUUCACAAGCACGCCAAAGAUUAAAUAAUAGUCCACUACAUGUCACAUGAUUUACUAAACAUUUAUCCAAUUUACAAAUAUUUGUUUUUAAAGCCUAAAUUUCAGCAAGAGAAUCAGAUCAACAAAACUAGUUCCUCAUAGUCACCUAAAUAGCUUAAUGUAGCAGCUAAAUGUUUAUCAACACCCAAUUGUCUUUAUAUAAUACAACCUACAUCAUGGUUCAAAAUACACACAAUCAGCAGAUUCUGAACUAAAAUCUCUUGAUGAAAUACUUCAUUAGGUUGGCUACCUCUAUACCAGAGGGUUUAUUUAAGCAGUGAUGUUUAACAGGGUCCCACUUACAACUACACUAAAUAAAAUUAAAAUUUGAUAAAACACUACAUUUGCCUCUGUCCCAUAAAACUAUUUAUAACAAUGAAGGCAGCAAAAACAGCAAAUGGGAGCACAAUUCAGUGGUAAUUGCCAGCACGGCAACAACAGUAAUUGCUUGAACAGCAAAACAGCAAUUGCCUGACCAGCACAACUGGUAAUAUUCCUAUUUCCUUACAGUGCAAGUCUCAAUUAAACCCACCACCACCACCAUCACCAAAAACAAAGAUUGUCUUGGGUAAAACCAUCAAGUCUGUUAUUUCAAACAGGUUUAAAUAUACAAGUUAAUAGCUAACUUAACUAGAUUUUGACAAUGCAUACCUUUUGGUGUAUUGGUGUAUUCUGUCACUUAGGUUGGCAACCUGGCUUGGCACCAACCAAAUGUAAACAAUACUUUAGUUCAUUCAAUCAUAGAGAGAAUGAAAGAAAAACAAGUAAUUCUCAGGUCACCCAUAACACCAGAAAGUGCCUAACAUAACCUUGAGAAGCAAAUUUGCUAAGCUGUCACUAAUGUUAGGAUGCUUCAAUAAAACUGAGCCACACCAAGCAUUCAUUAUAUUUACUGUAACUAAUGUAUACAUUAUGAUUUUCCCAUGUUAUUUAUUGACUAGAUUACAAAACAUAAAUGAAAUAAUCAUUGAAAAUCCCUAUGAUAUUAUCAUUGUGGAUUCCUCUGUGAAUAAUAUACUCCAAGCCAGCUUGGAAUAUAAACCACGGUGACUUAGGCGUAAGGUCUCUUGCUUAUUUUUCCCUCUUCACUUUACAAACAAACUCUGUUGGCUGGGUUGGAAGAACUCUCGUCCUCUUUCUCAGUCAAUAUUCUCUCAUUACCAGGUUUGGAGAUUACAUUGGUCACCUGUAGUGGUGAGCAUAGCAUCAAGUCUUAAGAUAUGAAGAUAAUGAGAAUGGGAAUGAUAUACCUAGCAAGAAACCGGUGGAAAUUUGAUAGAUAUGUGACCAGCUUGAAUGAAGUCACUUGUAACCGAAGGGUGUUUAUUCAGCUGUCUAGUUUGGAGCUUUAACUAUUUCCCAUCAAGGAACUCAGUUAUCUUUAGAACAGCUUCAUAUUACUAUUGUAUCAUUCACUGGAGCUCACAUGUCAACUAACAAAUGGAUGCCGGGGGAAAAGGUGUCUUCAUGGCCUGUCUAGUAAGUAUAACAUGGUACAUCAUGCCAGACAUACUGAGAUCAAUGCAAUACUUGACUAAGCCAUUCAAAAGUGCAGCAUUCUAAGUAUAUUGGAGUCUGUAUGGCUGCAUCAGUCAUAUCAGAAAAGACCAGACGAUUUAACUAGCAUGCAUGAAAAGACUGGAAUCUUGUAUGAGAUGCCACUGUGGAGUGUGGAGGACAAAUUCAUUAUUCCACAUUGAUUUAUGCAUGUAGUACUGCAAUACAUACAGGAGAAUGCAACCCAAAGCAUUCAAGAGCAUCUGUACAUACGGUACAACCAUGCAACACUUGAUGAAAUCUGCAAAUGACUUGUUGAAACAAAUGUCAUUUGGGAACCUUUAAUCUGUCGCCAACAACUUUCAAUAAUUAUAAUACAAGGGAAUGCAACAAAUAUGAGCUGUAUACAGGCCACAUAAAUGUUUGUAAGUCAGAGUGAAGAUUGCUUCUCUGUCUAGAAGGAAUAAUAGUCCUCAUUUUGUACAAAUAGAUACCCAUCCUAUCAGAAUAAUUUCGAUAAUUUCAACACUGUAUGAGUGCAUGUGUGUGUGUGUAUGCAGAUGCAGAGAAAUUUAGUGACGACAUAGUUGGAAUGGUAAAUUUGAAAUCCUUGACAGUAUAGAUUAGAUAAAGAUUUUUAAAAAAUACCAUAGUAAAAGCAAGUGUGAUAAAAAAAGAAUUAAAAAACUUUUUUAAGCAGACUUAAACUAUUGAAGCUUUGACCAUGUUGGGGUACCAUCAGUUUCCCUCUGAAGUGUAAUUCAUUUAAAACCUGAACAUAUAUAAUCCACCCAGGAGCAUAGAAGCAUUACACUUAUUCAACAUGUUCUGUAACAAAAAAAUAAAGAAAACACUGCAAUUAUGCAACAUAGCCAUUAGCAUAAAAAAAAAAGAAUCAUUGCUCUUGAGUUGAAAACCAAUAAAAAUCAUAAUUAAAAUGAAGUACCAGAGAUAUGAAGAAUUCAGGUGUUAUAAGAUUAAUGACAUGUUCUUAACUUUAAGAUGCCU